rnacentral:rRNA from 1 species
GACGAACGCUGGCGGCGUGCUUAACACAUGCAAGUCGAGCGGUAAGGCCCUUUCGGGGUACGACGAGCGGCGAACGGGUAGGAGUAACAACGUGGGUGGACCUCGCCCUCCAGCUCUGGGAGUAAGACCUCGGGAAACGUAGGGUCGUAAUAACUGGAGUAUGACUCCACCGGUGGCAUGUCGUGGGGUGGGAAAGACCUU